rnacentral:rRNA from 1 species
CCUACGGGUGGCAGCAGUGAGGAAUAUUGGUCAAUGGACGAAAGCCUGAACCAGCCAUGCAGCGUGCAGGAUGACUGCCCUACGGGUUGUAAACUUCUUUUAUAAAAGGAUAAAGUGAAAUACGUGUACCUUUUUGUAUGUACUUUAUGAAUAAGGAUCGGCUAACUCCGUGCCAGCAGCCGCGGUAAUACGGAGGAUCCAAGCGUUAUCCGGAUUUAUUGGGUUUAAAGGGUGCGUAGAUGGGUUGUUAAGUCAGUGGUGAAAUGUUGCGGCUCAACCGGAAAAUUGCCACUGAUACUGGCAGUCUAGAGUGUAGAUGAGGUAGGCGGAAUGCGUGGUGUAGCGGUGAAAUGCUUAGAGAUCACGAAGAACUCCGAUUGCGAAGGCAGCUUACCAAUCUGUCUCUGACAUUGAGGCACGAAAGCGUGGGGAGCAAACAGGAUUAGAUACCCGAGUAGUC